rnacentral:rRNA from 1 species
AUUGAACGCUGGCGGCAGGCCUAACACAUGCAAGUCGAACGGUAACAGGAGGAGGCUUCCUUCUUUGAUGACGAGUGGCGGAGGGGUGCGUAAUGUCUGUGUAACUCCCUGAUGGAGGGGGAUAACAACUGGAAACGGUAGCUAAUACCGCAUAACGUCGCAAGUCUAAAUGGCGGGAACUCCGGGCCCCUUGCCAUCGGUUUUGCCCAGAUGGGAUUGUCUAGGAGGUGGGGUAACGGCUCACCUAGGCGACGAUCCCUAGCUGGUCUGAGAGGCUGACCAGCCACACUGGAACUGAGACACGGUCCAGACUCCUACGGGAGGCAGCAGUGGGGAAUAUUGGACAAUGGGCGCAAGCCUGAUGCAGCCAUGCCGCGUGUAUGAAGAAGGCCUUCGGGUUGUAAAGUACUUUCAGCGGGGAGGAAGGGAGUAAAGUUAAUACCUUUGCUCAUUGACGUUACCCGCAGAAGAAGCACCGGCUAACUCCGUG